rnacentral:rRNA from 1 species
AAAUUGAAGAGUUUGAUCAUGGCUCAGAUUGAACGCUGGCGGCAGGCCUAACACAUGCAAGUCGAACGGUAACAGGAAGCAGCUUGCUGCUUCGCUGACGAGUGGCGGACGGGUGAGUAAUGUCUGGGAAACUGCCUGAUGGAGGGGGAUAACUACUGGAAACGGUGGCUAAUACCGCAUAACGUCGCAAGACCAAAGAGGGGGACCUUCGGGCCUCUUGCCAUCAGAUGUGCCCAGAUGGGAUUAGCUAGUUGGUGAGGUAACGGCUCACCAAGGCGACGAUCCCUAGCUGGUCUGAGAGGAUGACCAGCCACACUGGAACUGAGACACGGUCCAGACUCCUACGGGAGGCAGCAGUGGGGAAUAUUGCACAAUGGGCGCAAGCCUGAUGCAGCCAUGCCGCGUGUAUGAAGAAGGCCUUCGGGUUGUAAAGUACUUUCAGCGGGGAGGAAGGUGUUGUGGUUAAUAACCGCAGCAAUUGACGUUACCCGCAGAAGAAGCACCGGCUAA